UACGGGGGGGGCAAGCGUUGUUCGGAAUUACUGGGCGUAAAGGGCUCGUAGGCGGCCAACUAAGUCAGACGUGAAAUCCCCAGGCUCAACCUGGGAACUGCGUCUGAUACUGGAUGGCUUGAAUUCGGGAGAGGGAUGCAGAAUUCCAGGUGUAGCGGUGAAAUGCGUAGAUAUCAGGAGGAACACCAAUGGCGAAGGCAGCACUCUGGGACGUGACUGACGCUGAGACGCGAAAGCGUGGGGAGCAAACAGG
rnacentral:rRNA from 1 species